GACGAACCGUGCGAACGUUAUUCGGAAUCAUUGGGCUUAAAGCGCGUGUAGGCGGGUUCGUGCGUCUGUCGCUGAAAUCCCCCGGCUCAACCGGGGAACGGGCGCGGAUACGACGAGCCUGGAGGGGCAUAGGGGGACCUGGAACUUCCGGUGGAGCGGUGAAAUGCGUUGAGAUCGGAAGGAACGCCCGUGGCGAAAGCGAGGUCCUGGAUGCCUACUGACGCUGAGGACGCGAAAAGCCAGGGGAGCCGAACGGG
rnacentral:rRNA from 1 species